UGAUUUUAAGGUGCUUGCACUUGAAAGAUUUAACAUUGAGACGAGUGGCGAACUGGUGAGUAACACGUGGGUAACCUGCCCUUGAAGUAGGGGAUAACACUUGGAAACAGGUGCUAAUACCGUAUAACAACCAAAACCACCUGGUUUUGGUUUAAAAGACGGCUUCGGCUGUCACUUUAGGAUGGACCCGCGGCGUAUUAGCUUGUUGGUAAGGUAACGGCCUACCAAGGCGAUGAUACGUAGCCGACCUGAGAGGGUAAUCGGCCACAUUGGGACUGAGACACGGCCCAAACUCCUACGGGAGGCAGCAGUAGGGAAUCUUCCACAAUGGACGAAAGUCUGAUGGAGCAACGCCGCGUGAGUGAUGAAGGGUUUCGGCUCGUAAAACUCUGUUGUUGGAGAAGAACAGGUGUCAGAGUAACUGUUGACAUCUUGACGGUAUCCAACCAGAAAGCCACGGCUAACUACGUGCCAGCAGCCGCGGUAAUACGUAGGUGGCAAGCGUUGUCCGGAUUUAUUGGGCGUAAAGCGAGCGCAGGCGGUUUUUUAGGUCUGAUGUGAAAGCCUUCGGCUUAACCGGAGAAGUGCAUCGGAAACCGGGAGGCUUGAGUGCAGAAGAGGACAGUGGAACUCCAUGUGUAGCGGUGAAAUGCGUAGAUAUAUGGAAGAACACCAGUGGCGAAGGCGGCUGUCUGGUCUGUAACUGACGCUGAGGCUCGAAAGCAUGGGUAGCGAACAGGAUUAGAUAC
rnacentral:rRNA from 1 species